ACGUAGGGUGCAAGCGUUAAUCGGAAUUACUGGGCGUAAAGCGUGCGCAGGCGGUUUUGUAAGUCAGAUGUGAAAUCCCCGGGCUUAACCUGGGAACUGCGUUUGAAACUACAAGGCUAGAGUGUGGCAGAGGGGGGUGGAAUUCCACGUGUAGCAGUGAAAUGCGUAGAGAUGUGGAGGAACACCGAUGGCGAAGGCAGCCCCCUGGGUUAACACUGACGCUCAGGCACGAAAGCGUGGGGAGCAAACAGGA
rnacentral:rRNA from 1 species